CGUACGCUUCUUUUUCCACCGGAGCUUGCUCCACCGGAAAAAGAGGAGUGGCGAACGGGUGAGUAACACGUGGGUAACCUGCCCAUCAGAAGGGGAUAACACUUGGAAACAGGUGCUAAUACCGUAUAACAAUCGAAACCGCAUGGUUUUGAUUUGAAAGGCGCUUUCGGGUGUCGCUGAUGGAUGGACCCGCGGUGCAUUAGCUAGUUGGUGAGGUAACGGCUCACCAAGGCCACGAUGCAUAGCCGACCUGAGAGGGUGAUCGGCCACAUUGGGACUGAGACACGGCCCAAACUCCUACGGGAGGCAGCAGUAGGGAAUCUUCGGCAAUGGACGAAAGUCUGACCGAGCAACGCCGCGUGAGUGAAGAAGGUUUUCGGAUCGUAAAACUCUGUUGUUAGAGAAGAACAAGGAUGAGAGUAACUGUUCAUCCCUUGACGGUAUCUAACCAGAAAGCCACGGCUAACUACGUGCCAGCAGCCGCGGUAAUACGUAGGUGGCAAGCGUUGUCCGGAUUUAUUGGGCGUAAAGCGAGCGCAGGCGGUUUCUUAAGUCUGAUGUGAAAGCCCCCGGCUCAACCGGGGA
rnacentral:rRNA from 1 species